GCGUUGUGCGAGCUUUUCUUCCUGUUUUGUGCGUGAAUGUGUAGAGGCAGGUGGAGGGAGUCGGAGAGAAUGUGGGGCCAGCAACAACAUGGAAGGGACAGGCGGGAAGCCCACUGCUGUUGUUGCAGUUGUGACUGAGCCUCGAUUUACCCAGCAAUACAGGGAAUAUCUCGAGAAGCAGAAACUCCUGGAUCGACAACACCGUGUGAAAAAGCUGCGGGAUGGCACCGUGGCGCUACCGGUUCUGAGAGAGGCCCUCCUUGAGCAGCAUCUGCAGGAGCUGAGGAAUCGUGUGGCUCCAGGCAGCACCUGUGUGCUGACGCAGCUCCUGGAUCCUGUUCCUUCAAAGAAGGCCCAGAGUUACUCACCUGCCCAAAGGCUGUGUCUUGAGGUGAGUCGCUGGGUAGAGGGCCGCGGAGUGACGUGGUCGGCCGAGUUGGAGGCUGACCUGCCCCGAUCUUGGCAACGACACGGUGACCUCUUGUUACUGAGUGAGGACUGUUUCCAAGCCAAGCAGUGGAGACAUCUGGAGCCAGAACUCUGGGAGACGGUUGCCUCGGCACUUGGCGUCCAGCGUUUGGCCAAACGAGGGCGGGUGUCCCCGGAUAGCACUCGGACUCCAGCAGUGAGGAUGCUGCUGGGCAACCACGGCUGGGUAGAGCAUGUGGAUAAUGGGAUUCGGUAUAAGUUUGACGUGACCCAGUGCAUGUUCUCCUUCGGAAACAUCACUGAGAAGCUUCGUGUGGCGUCGCUGCCCUGCGCCGGAGAAGUGCUGGUGGAUCUCUAUGCGGGGAUUGGUUAUUUUACCUUGCCUUUCCUAGUUCAUGCCGAGGCUGCUUUCGUCCAUGCUUGUGAGUGGAAUCCCCAUGCGGUAGUUGCUCUGAGAAAUAACCUUGAACUCAAUGGAGUAGCUGAUCAAUGCCAAAUACACUUUGGGGAUAACAGAAAACUGAAGCUAUCAAACGUUGCGGACCGGGUGAAUCUGGGGCUGAUUCCCAGCUCUGAAGAAGGCUGGCCCAUUGCCUGCCGAUUGCUAAAACAGGAUGCUGGAGGCAUUUUGCAUAUUCACCAAAAUGUUGAGUCUUUCCCAGGGAAGACUCUCCAGCCUCCUGGAAGCAGUGAGAUGGAAGAGCAUUGGCCUUCUCCUCAGCAGAUUAUCAGCAACCAGUUGAAAAAUGGAGCUACCAGUGAUUCUAGGAGGAAAACACUGUCAGUGGCUACCAAGCCAGAGUGGCAGAGGUGGGCCGAAGCUGCAGAGACUCGAAUUGCCACUCUUCUUCAUCAGGUGCAUGGAAAACCGUGGAAGACACAAAUCUUGCACAUCCAACCAGUGAAAUCCUAUGCUCCCCACGUGGAUCACAUAGUCCUGGAUUUGGAAUGCCGCCCCUGUCCUCUAGUUGGCUAGAGGAGGUGGAUCCUGAGAUGGGAAGAUCUACUUGUGAGUCACCCUGAAAGCAUCAGCUCAGGCCGGGUCUCACCCCUCUUGUCUCCUGUUUUCUCCAAGCACUUGCUGGAUGGCCUGACCCAGAAGAGACGUGUAACUGAACCAAGGAAAGACUAAAGGAGUCAGGAGGCUCACAGAGUCCUUACAGAUUCAAUCCAGGAAUUUGUAGAAGCGCUAAAGCUUUCCUUUGCAGGUGUCAGUAUUAGUUGCUGAUUAAUGCUCCCACUUGAUGGAGAAGUUGUGAUUAAAAAGCAAUGAUUUUAUCAAACACUUAACCAUGAACUAUAUUCAUUAACUCCAUAAUUUUAAUAAAUUAUAUACUUGUAUUAAUAUAUCAGUAUCAUGUAUAAUUUUAAAUAUGCAAAUUAAAAAUGAUGAGAAACUA